rnacentral:rRNA from 1 species
ACGAACGCUGGCGGCAUGCCUAACACAUGCAAGUCGAACGAGACCUUCGGGUCUAGUGGCGCACGGGUGCGUAACGCGUGGGAACCUGCCCUUAGGUUCAGAAUAACUCCCCGAAAGGGGUGCUAAUACCGGAUAAUGUCUUCGGACCAAAGAUUUAUCGCCUUUGGAUGGGCCCGCGUUGGAUUAGCUAGUUGGUAGGGUAAAAGCCUACCAAGGCGACGAUCCAUAGCUGGUCUGAGAGGAUGAUCAGCCACACUGGGACUGAGACACGGCCCAGACUCCUACGGGAGGCAGCAGUGGGGAAUAUUGGACAAUGGGCGAAAGCCUGAUCCAGCAAUGCCGCGUGAGUGAUGAAGGCCUUAGGGUUGUAAAGCUCUUUUACCCGGGAUGAUAAUGACAGUACCGGGAGAAUAAGCUCCGGCUAACUCCGUG